UACGGAGGGUGCAAGCGUUAUCCGGAUUCACUGGGUUUAAAGGGUGCGUAGGUGGGCAGGUAAGUCAGUGGUGAAAUCUCCGGGCUUAACUCGGAAACUGCCAUUGAUACUAUCAGUCUUGAAUACCGUGGAGGUAAGCGGAAUAUGUCAUGUAGCGGUGAAAUGCUUAGAUAUGACAUAGAACACUAAUUGCGAAGGCAGCUUACUACCCGAAUAUUGACACUGAGGCACGAAAGCGUGGGGAUCAAACAGG
rnacentral:rRNA from 1 species